UGCCGGGCACUCUGGAAGGACUGCCAUCGACAAGAUGGAGGAAGGUGGGGAUGACGUCAAGUCAUCAUGGCCCUUAUGUCCAGGGCGACACACGUGCUACAAUGGCCGGCACAACGGGAAGCGAGUUCGCGAGGACGAGCGGAUCCCUCAAAGCCGGUCGCAGUUCGGAUUGAAGUCUGCAACUCGACUUCAUGAAGCUGGAAUCGCUAGUAAUCGUGGAUCAGCCAAGCCGCGGUGAAUACGUUCCCGGGCCUU
rnacentral:rRNA from 1 species